rnacentral:ncRNA from 1 species
GAUCAAGCGUCUUAAGGGCAUCUGGUGGAUGCCUUGGCUUCGAGAGGCGAUGAAGGACGUGGCAGGCUGCGAUAAGCUGCGGGGAGGGGCCAGCACCCUUUGAUCCGCGGAUUUCCGAAUGGGGAAACCCACCCGCAAGGGUAUCUUACACUGAAUUCAUAGGUGUAAGAGGCGAACCCGGGGAACUGAAACAUCUCAGUACCCGGAGGAAAGGACAUCA